CGAAAAGGGGAGCUGGGUAUGCCCGGCUGAGAGAAGGGGACACGACCCCGGAAACCCUCGAACCUGAUCCGGAUAAUGCCGGCGUAGGAAGCA
rnacentral:ncRNA from 1 species